GAUGAAGAACGCAGCGAAAUGCGAUAAGUAAUGUGAAUUGCAGAAUUCCGUGAAUCAUCGAAUCUUUGAACGCACAUUGCGCCCCCUGGCAUUCCGGGGGGCAUGCCUGUCCGAGCGUCAUUUCUGCCCUCCAGCCCGGCUGGGUGUUGGGCGCUGUCCCCCCGGGGCCACGCCCCAAAGGCAGUGGCGGCGCCGCGUCGGGUCCUCGAGCGUAUGGGGCUUUGUCACCCGCUCGGGACGGACUCGUCGGCGCUGGUCUUCCUCCAGGCGACCCUUCGGGGCUCGUCUUCCUUCGGUUGACCUCGGAUCAGGUAGGGUUACCCGCUGAACUUAAGCAUAUCAAUAAGCGGAGGA
rnacentral:misc_RNA from 1 species